UCGAGAAUCUUCCGCAAUGGACGAAAGUCUGACGGAGCGACGCCGCGUGGUGGAUGAAGCCCUUCGGGGCGUAAACACCUUUUAUGAGGGAGGAAGUUUAUUGACGUUACCUCAUGAAUAAGGGGCUCCCAGCUCUGUGCCAGCAGGAGCGGUAAUACAGAGGCCCCAAGCAUUAUCCGGAUUUACUGGGCGUAAAGGGUGCGUAGGCGGUUAUAUUAGUCAGGUGUUAAAUCCUGGGGCUCAACCCCAGAACUGCAUUUGAAACGGUAUAACUAGAAUAAGUCAGAGGCAAGCAGAACUCACGGUGUAGGGGUGAAAUCCGUUGAUAUCGUGGGGAAUACCAAAUGCGAAGGCAGCUUGCUGGGACUUUAUUGACGCUGAGGCACGAAAGCGUGGGUAGCGAAUCGG
rnacentral:rRNA from 1 species